rnacentral:rRNA from 1 species
AUUGAACGCUGGCGGCAUGCUUUACACAUGCAAGUCGGACGGCAGCACAGAGAAGCUUGCUUCUUGGGUGGCGAGUGGCGAACGGGUGAGUAACAUAUCAGAACGUACCGAGCAGUGGGGGAUAACUAAUCGAAAGAUUAGCUAAUACCGCAUAUAUUCUGAGGAAGAAAGCAGGGGACCAUUUGGCCUUGCGCUGUUUGAGCGGCCGAUAUCUGAUUAGCUAGUUGGUGGGGUAAAGGCCUACCAAGGCGACGAUCAGUAGCGGGUCUGAGAGGAUGAUCCGCCACACUGGGACUGAGACACGGCCCAGACUCCUACGGGAGGCAGCAGUGGGGAAUUUUGGACAAUGGGCGCAAGCCUGAUCCAGCCAUGCCGCGUGUCUGAAGAAGGCCUUCGGGUUGUAAAGGACUUUUGUCAGGGAAGAAAAGGGCGGGGUUAAUACCCCUGUCUGAUGACGUACCUGAAGAAUAGCCCCGCA